rnacentral:ncRNA from 1 species
UUACAAACGAUGAAAGAGAUAAAGUAGCGCUUUGUGGUUACAAUAUAGAGAGUAGGCUGGUGGGUGAAAAGUCUAUAGUACAUAAAGUUGUGAAUUACACUCGGGAGUUUCAAUGGGAAAUCAUUGCGGCAGUCAACCGAUAUAUUGACAAAGAGGCAUCUUUGGAAUAGAUGCAAAUUAAGGUGGUACCACGGGUCUUACUCGUCCUUAGC